UACGUAGGGGGCUAGCGUUGUCCGGAUUUAUUGGGCGUAAAGAGCGUGUAGGCGGCCAUGUAGGUCCGGUGUGAAAACUCGAGGCUUAACCUCGAGAUGUCAUCGGAAACCAUUUGGCUAGAGUCCGGAAGAGGAGAGUGGAAUUCCUGGUGUAGCGGUGAAAUGCGCAGAUAUCAGGAAGAACACCGGUGGCGAAGGCGGGUCUCUGGGCCGAUACUGACGCUGAGGAGCGAAAGCGUGGGGAGCGAACAGG
rnacentral:rRNA from 1 species